rnacentral:rRNA from 1 species
UAGGGAAUUUUCCGCAAUGGGCGCAAGCCUGACGGAGCAAUGCCGCGUGAGGGAAGAAGGCCUUCGGGUCGUAAACCUCUUUCGUUUGGGAAGAAAGCGAUGAACAAGAAACGGUGCACCAUUGACGGUACCAGAGGAAGAAGCCCCGGCUAAUUACGUGCCAGCAGCCGCGGUAAUACGUAAGGGGCAAGCGUUGUCCGGAAUCACUGGGCGUAAAGGGCGCGUAGGCGGUUCGUUAAGUCAGAAGUGAAAGCGCUGGGCCUAACCCAGCAACGGCUUUUGAGACUGGCGAGCUAGAGGGUCCUAGGGGAUGCUGGAAUUCCAGGUGUAGCGGUGAAAUGCGUAGAUAUCUGGGAGAACACCCGUGGCGAAGGCGGGCAUCUGGGGGACACCUGACGCUGAGGCGCGAAAGCUAGGGGAGCGAACGGGAUUAGAUACCCCCGUAGUCC